rnacentral:lncRNA from 1 species
GCGGUGGGUUUCUUCAUCACUUGAGCUUGUCAUAUCAAAUCCACCCUUUCCAAUGCUUGUGAAGGCCUUCUUCUUGCUUUCCUUCUUCUCCUUCUUCCUUUCUUUUCUUUCUUUCUUUCUUGCCUGCCUUCUUCUCCUUCUUCCUUUAUUUUCUUUCUUUCUUUCUUUCUUUGCGUCUCUUCUCCAACAACAGACAAUACUCAAUGUAGUUUCCCUCCUCUCCAUAACCAAUUCAUUCCUUCUUCUUUUUCUUAGGCUGUGGCAAACCAAUUGUUCCGUAGGGACACCUUUGGAGUUGAGCUUCUUAAGUAGCUUAUUCACUCCUUUUAUAAGUUGCUUGAUUUCUUCAUCAUUGGAGGAGUUGCUACUACUUGCUUGAUCAUCCUAUUCAUCUUUCGCCUCAUCAUCACUUUCUUCUUCAUCACUUGAACUUGAAGCCUCACUUGAGCUUGAGCUUGAACUUGAUUCUCGCUCUUGAGCUUUCUUGCUUGAUGUGGAAGUUUCUUAUUUAUCUUCACUUUUCUUUUCCUUCUCCUUCUCUUCUUUGCUUGAUGUACCAACAUCUUGACUUGAAGGAGAGGGGUCUUUUGUGAACUUCACAGAUAGCUCAUGAGCGAUGAUCUUGUUCAAGACUUUUGUCGGCUUCAAUUUGUUCAUGCCUUCAAAACAAUGGAAGUAGGUGAAGAUGGCGGUGUACUUGUUCUUCGGAAGAACAUGGAGGAUCUUUCUUGCGACAUCCGCA